rnacentral:lncRNA from 1 species
AUGCUACUUUAAGUUUUCUUAAUUUUCUCUUUAUUGUUUCAAAUUGUCUGCACUCAUUUUUUUUCUGCAGCGUUUCAAGAGAAGUCAAGGAAAUGAAAUCCUUUCACCGUAAAAGCACUAAACAGUGAGCCAUGGAUAAUAUUUCAGUGCUUCUUAUGCUUCUAUAUGAUUUUUAAAACUAUUCUUUAAUAUUUAAUUUCUAGAUUCUGAACUGUGGUAUAUGGAUGCAAAGUAUUUUAUACAUCUGGAGAAUAUUAGGGUUGUUCACACAGCUGGUUAUAGCAGCUGAUCUUAUGGUCAUUAAAACACAUGCUUGCAAAGCAGCAUAUGGAACAAAGACAUCCAUAUCUUUGGGGGCAGGGUUUGAAUUUUAGGAUAUGAUGGCAUACCAACUGUAUAUUGCUUUCAAAAUCAACCCUUUGACUAAAAUGAUUUUGUUUCAACAUACCAUCACAAAAAGAUGUGAUACUUUUGUGACACUUCUUUACCUAUAGACUCUAAAACAGGUUAAAACAAGUGUAUUUUUAACGCUACCAGCCAAAAGGCUAUAAGCUCCAAAAAGACUGUUUUAACUAUUUUUAUCCUUUAGAUAUACCCUGGGAGAAAAAGAACUUCUGUAUAAAUGCAAGGGUAAUUAGCUUGUACCAUUAAUAGGGUGGAUUUCCUGGUACUUAAUUGAAAGCAGGUGGAUAAUUAAAACCAAUGUGUAGCUAAUCAAGAGACAGAUAUCAGGUGAUCAUGAGGCCUUGCCUGAUUCUGAUCAGGAUAAAAACCUAACUUUCAAGCCUGCUUGCUUUAGAGGUUAAUGUGAAAAAAGUGAGAAGUACUGAGUCCUGGUUAAGGAGACUGUGCUAUGAAGCUCACAGAAUGCCCAACUACAUAUGGGAUUAAAAGGCAUAUCAAGGAGAGUGGGGGAAAGGGAGAGAAAUCACCAACAGGUUGAAGCAUUCUUUGUACAAGAACACCUUCGGAAGAUUCUUUCCCAAUCCCACUUCUUGUACGAGGAAGCAACUGUAGCAAAAAGCCUGGAUUUGUGAGCUUCCAUAGAAACAGUUUUAGAGGCUAUGUUGCAUUAUUCAUUAAUGUUGUGGAUAACAACUUCAACCUCAGGACUGUUGAGCCAGCACUUUCAAGAGCAGUAAAUUCCCUGAGGGAGGGAAGGAGAAAAAUUGUCCCUACCCUGAGGUUUGAAAAAUAGUCUUCACUACAGGAAGAGUUUGCUGAGGGGUUGUGUCUAAUGAGAAGAAAUUAUCUGAGAGGAUAAUCACCCCCUGCAACAGUUUUGGAAACCUGAAGCUCCCUAGAAGACUGCUAUAGAGAUUUUUUUCGUAUUCUUCCAUCCCCUGACGGGCACCUGCUGAAUCUUUGUGAGAUCCUGAAAAGGGGAAUUGGUGCUGUGGAAACAUUAUUUCUUUCUUUCUUUUUCUACCUGAUAUGCCUAUGGGAAAAAGAGAAACAGUGUCUUCCUUAUGGACAAUAUCGUGUAUGCAAACCAGAACACAAAAUUUGAAAUGAGUAUUUAGAGAGGCAGUGAGAAACAAGACAGGAUUAAAACUCCCUAAACUCUUCUAUUCAGCUGAUAUCUUCAGCUUAUAUUGAUUAUAAAAUUUUGUGGUUUGUUUUGGGAGGGACAGCAAGAGAGGUUAACUAAUAUUUAUCUGUCCCAGUUAUUAGUCCUUAGGAGUAUAUAGUAUGUUCCAGUCUUCUCAGUCUUGCAAAAAUUUUCUUUUGAAUGACAGUAACAGUUUUGUUUCUUGUUAAUAAUGUUUUUACUGCACUUACGGUGAUUUGGCCGUGAUAUCCUCAGAGAUACCUUGUUUGAUGUUCUUGUUCAAAAUUUGUAACACAGGGCAUCUGAUAACUUUUGUGAAAGUUUUACUUUAAUAUAUUAAAAGAGAGAAAAAAUAAAUUCUCAGUUUUCAGGGCUAAGAAUUCA